rnacentral:misc_RNA from 1 species
ACGGACACGCAUUCAAUGGGUUAUAUAGAUAGAUUUAUAUUAACUGUCACUUUUACGAUUUUAGACUUUAAAUUGAUUAGAAUGUUUAUUUGUUGAUUACAAUUUGUGUUCAUUUUUAAAUAUGGGAUAUCUUCAGGAUUCCGAGAACUCUCUGAAACAGGAAGAAAAGGGAAUGAUAAAAAUUAUAUAAUCUAAUUAUGGAAAUGUAUAGAAAUGCUAAACCAUAUAUUAAGAUAGGAUAGAUUUAAAGUGUUACAAAAAAAGAGAAUUAGGAUUUAGGAUGGCUUUGGAGUUUAUCAAGAAUCCACAGAGAUGAUUACUCCAUCUAAAUGAAUAACUAAACAUCAAAACUGGAUUUAGCUUUACCUCAGCAAAUUUAAAUAUAUUAUUAAUCAAUUUUCAUACAUGUUGAAGAGAAACUAAGAAGUUAAAUUAAUCACAAGUAUAUAUAUAUGUAUGCACAUAUUUAUAUAUACUAAAGGUUUAUUUUUAAAAUGAUUAAAAGUAAUUGAUAUAAUAUAUAUAAAUUUUAUAAAUAAUUUUGAAAUCUUUUAACUUUUUUAGAUAAAUUACUUUUUAAAAAAGAAAUAAGGGUUUUUCUGUAUACAAUAAUGUAGAUAAUACUUUAAAACAUUAUCUUAGAUAUAUUAUCAUGAUAAUGAGGAGUUUUUAU